CAAUAGGGGCUGAGAUACAUGCAAAGGGAUGUAGACCAGAGGCCACAGAGACACUGGGAACUGGGGUAUUUUGUGUGAAGAGGACCAGUAUGCAGAGAACCAAACUUGGGGUGAUUUGAGGUCAAGGACAGGAUAUAAAUGAUGCCACAAGAGUCACAGCUCUCCUAAGGCAGCAGUUCACAGACAGCGCUCACUGUGAUGAACAGGGCAGAUGGCUCUCCCAGAUGAGCCACUUCUGCUGCAGAAAGAAACGGACCAU
rnacentral:lncRNA from 1 species